UGAGGAGAUGGUGGCGGCGUCCUUCAACACUGCCAAGGUCCUGGCGACAGUGGCCGUGUCCUUUCCGUGUCCUCCUCUGGGGGCUUGCGCAACACCUGGGUUUCGUCCGCACAGUCUCCUCCGACGUCCUUGCCAGGAGCAAGGCAGCUUAUACCCCUGUUGUUCAGCUGGUAUGAACAAAUCAGUUCUCGUAGUACUAUUUGGCACGGUGGAGUGGCUGGGUGUGUCCGUCCGUGUUCGCCCUUGUUGGCGGAGAAUAUGGAGCAAGAUGAGGUGAUUGAGGAUGUGCCAAGCAGCGCAUCAUAUUUUUGGUGACAUAAAGAUACAAGAAGGAGUGCAAUUGCACGUUCAAGCUACGGUGGUGCUGGACGCAGCCUCCUACGCAAAUGCGUGGUUUUAAUCCUGGUCAUCAUUCGGCUUUGACUACCUCAUCUACUUCCUCUUCGACUCCUGCCGCCAUGUGAUGACCGCGAGUUCACCGUGACCCAACUGGGGCAGCGGUGGCCUUCUUCUCCGCCUCCAUGUUUUUGGAUGACUAUGACAUCCAGCCCGACCAGAAGGUAGCUUGCCUCCAUCACCACUCCAAGACGAUUCUUUUUUCCUGUUUCUGGUGUGCUCUAGCCUCUACCUAGUUGUAAACUAGCUAGUAAUGUCCCUUGUCUUCAACACAAUUAUAAACUAGCU